rnacentral:tRNA from 1 species
GGGGUUGUGGCUCAGCGGUACAGCGCUCGCCUAGCAUGUGUGAGGCACUGGGUUCCAUCCUCAGCACCACA